AGUGAACGCUGGCGGUAGGCCUAACACAUGCAAGUCGAACGGCAGCACAGUAAGAGCUUGCUCUUACGGGUGGCGAGUGGCGGACGGGUGAGGAAUAUAUCGGAAUCUACUUUUUCGUGGGGGAUAACGUAGGGAAACUUACGCUCAUACCGCAUCCGACCUACGGGUGAAAGCAGGGGAUCUUCGGACCUUGCGCGAUUGAAUGAGCCGAUGUCGGAUUAGCUAGUUGGCGGGGUAAAGGCCCACCAAGGCGACGAUCCGUAGCUGGUCUGAGAGGAUGAUCAGCCACACUGGAACUGAGACACGGUCCAGACUCCUACGGUAGGCAGCAGUGGGGAAUAGUGGACAAUGGGCGCAAGCCUGAUCCAGCCAUACCGCGUGGGUGAAGAAGGCCUUCGGGUUGUAAAGCCCUUUUGUUGGGAAAGAAAAGCAGCAGGUUAAUACCCCGCUGUUCUGACGGUACCCAAAGAAUAAGCACCGGCUAACUUCGUG
rnacentral:rRNA from 1 species